rnacentral:rRNA from 1 species
GACGAACGCUGGCGGCGUGCCUAAUACAUGCAAGUCGAGCGGAACCUUGAAAGUAGCUUGCUACGGCCAAGGUUUAGCGGCGGACGGGUGAGUAACACGUAGGCAACCUGCCUGUAAGCUGGGGAUAACCUCCGGAAACGGAAGCUAAGACCCGAUAGGAAAUGCUCUCGCAUGGGAGCGUUUGGAAAGACGGAGCAAUCUGUCGCUUACGGAUGGGCCUGCGGCGCAUUAGCUAGUAGGUGAGGUAACGGCUCACCUAGGCGACGAUGCGUAGCCGACCUGAGAGGGUGAACGGCCACACUGGGACUGAGACACGGCCCAGACUCCUACGGGAGGCAGCAGUAGGGAAUCUUCGGCAAUGGACGAAAGUCUGACCGAGCAACGCCGCGUGAGUGAAGAAGGGUUUCGGCUCGUAAAACUCUGUUGCCAAGGAAGAAGGGUAAGGAGAGUAACUGCUCUUUAUUUGACGGUACUUGAGAAGAAAGCCCCGGCUAACUACGUGCCAGCCGCCGCAGUAAAAC